AUUUCUAGAAUCAUUUAUUUUUAUAAACACGGAAAAUUUAUCCUCAAAACAUUUCAAAACAUAAAAGAGUUACAAUUUUGCAUUGAUAUAUUGUAGAGAAUAAAUAGUAACUUGUUAUGACUUAUUUGCUAUAUAAUUUAUAAUAAUCUAAAAUUGUAGGUUAUACAGUACCAUUGUAAUUAAAGAAGGUGGUAUUGACACUAAGACAGUAGUACCUACUCACUGGGUUAAUGCAGAGGAAGGUAUAGUAUACUAUCCCCCUCGAGGAAAAAAAACUGUGGGUAUUUAUUUAUCUGAAUGGGCUGGUCCAGAACCUGGCUGGCAGGAGUUUGUAUUGUUAGAAUUUUUUUUGGAGUGUGGAAGUUAUGAAACAUGUCAGUCAAUUCUAAACAUUUUGACUGAAGAUGAAAAUGAUAACUGCCCUGUUUCAAAUAUGCUCAACCCAAAUUUGCAUGCUUUAAAGUGCAUAACAUUUGGUUCUUUAUCACCAAUUCAAUUAAAUGUACCACUUAUAUCUCCUUGGAAAAAAGGUAAAGUGUAAUACAGCCAAGAUCGAAUGAAGAUUUCCAACAAUCAUUGGAUUUAGAAUCGAACCACUUUAACAAAAAUCCAACAUCUUUUAAGAUAGGUGAUGGCGGUGUUUCAUUUAAGAAAAUGACAAAUAAACAGUUUCAGUAUGUCAUGCUAAUGAAGCUAGAUUUGCUGGAGCAAAAUCAACUUAGAAUUAUGAAGCGAUUGGACAACAUAGAAACAAAGCCAAAAAGUAGUGCUACUGAUGUGGGUUCCAUAAUUACAAUCCCACACAGAGAUCUUAGGUAUUUUAAUGAAGAAGAGGAAAUUCUCAGAACAAGUUCUAGUGCUGUGAAAAACAAGAUCACUCAAAUCAAAUCCAUUGGUGGUGCAACAUUACGCAAAACUGUCAAAAAUGUUUUUAUACCAGUUAAUAGUGCCACAAGUCCAAAACUUAUUUAGUAAAGAUGGAUUAAAAGGCAAGCUUAAGUUUAACUAAGCAACAUUACAAGUGUAUUAAAGAAGGCUUAGUAUCCGAAAGAACCGAUUAUGAUGCCGCAACUAUUGAAGCCCUUGUUGGCGAUUUAUUGGAGCGGGCGUUGCCGAAAGUAAAAAUAGUUAACGAUAUUGAUGGUCACGAAGAGAAAGCAACAUAAAAUUGUUGCUUUGUAUAUUUAUUAUUUUUGAAAGUAAAUGUUUUUAACAUA
rnacentral:lncRNA from 1 species